UUGUGAUUGUUUUGUGUGUAUGUCUGUGUGUGUAAAUGUGUGUUUGUGUGUGUAUGUAUAUGUGUAUGUGAGUGUAUGUGUUUGUGUGUAUGUGUUUGUGCGUAUGUGUGUGUACAUCUGUGUUUAUAUUUUUUGUUUGUGUAUGUGUAUGUGUUUCUGUGAUUACUUUGUGUCUGUGUGAAUGUGUGUGUGUUUGUGUGUAUAUGUUUUCCUGUGUGUGUAUGUUUGUAUGUGCAUAUGUACGUGUUUCUAUAUAAUUGCUUGUUUACAUUAGUAAUGAUACUUGUCAUAUUGUACUAUACAUAUGUAAGUUUUAUGACCAUUUAAUCUAAUAACUGCGCUUUCCAGAAACCAACCCUCCACUGCUUCGAUUGAAAAAGGGGAGUAUGGUUGGGCUGACCUGGUCGUGAGCAUUGAAAAAACUUUUGUUUGGAUUGUGUCAUCGCUGUUGGCACAAUCGGUGCCCUGGGAGCUUCAAGGGGGCUCUGUGCGAGUGCUAGGAGCCUUGUGGCUCUUAGUGGCACUAGUCCUGAGCUCGGUAUACCGGUCCAACUUGAAGGCUAUGCUUAUUUUACCGCGAGUAACGAUUCCAUUUGAUAAUCUGGAAGAACUAGUGCAGAAGGGCAUCCCAACCAAUGUAUAUGCAGGCACCCGGCUCCAUAGAGACAUUUUAAACGCCCCAGCGAACAGCACUUUAGGGAAGUUAAGGGACCAAAUUGAAACCAUUGUUGACGGCAGAGAAAUGAUUACAAAGACUCUGAUGGGCACACACGUAGCCAUGGGACCACGAACAUCAUACGAAUGGGCUCUUCAUGAUUUGUUUUCAGUGGUGGGUAUAUAUUAAUUCCAACUUUAUGAUU